UACGUAGGGUGCGAGCGUUAAUCGGAAUUACUGGGCGUAAAGCGUGCGCAGGCGGUUAUGAAAGACAGAGGUGAAAUCCCCGGGCUCAACCUGGGAAAUGCCUUUGUGACCGCAUGACUAGAGUACGGCAGAGGGGGAUGGAAUUCUGCGUGUAGCAGUGAAAUGCGUAGAUAUGCGGAGGAACACCGAUGGGGAAGGCAAUCCCCUGGGCCUGUACUCACGCUCAUGCACGAAAGCGUGGGGAGCUAACACG
rnacentral:rRNA from 1 species